AGUUCUAUGGCACACGAAAGGGAGGCAGCGGCGAUUGUGCUGAAUCAUUUUUCAUUUUAAUGGACUUGCAUAAGCUAUUUCCGCGAGCAAGUUAAAGUCGGAAUAAGAAAAUCCAAGUUAAGAAAACUAAGCUAACGAGGUUGAGCGAUGAUGACGGGUGGGUGUUGAGCAAAGCCGAUGAAGAAUUUGUCUUAACUUUCUGAAAAUUUCAUGUCUUCACACAUGACAUAUUUCCUUUCAUCCUAAAUGCUUCCGUUGUUUUAUUGCUUCUUUUGAGCUUAUACUUUUUCGUGAUGAUACUACGAUUCUUUUAAGUUAUUCCAA